rnacentral:rRNA from 1 species
AACGAACGCUGGCGGCAGGCUUAACACAUGCAAGUCGAGCGCCCCGCAAGGGGAGCGGCAGACGGGCGAGUAACGCGUGGGAAUCUACCCAUCCCUACGGAAUAGCUCCGGGAAACUGGAAUUAAUACCGUAUACGCCCUACGGGGGAAAGAUUUAUCGGGGAUGGAUGAGCCCGCGUUGGAUUAGCUAGUUGGUGGGGUAAAGGCCAACCAAGGCGACGAUCCAUAGCUGGUCUGAGAGGAUGAUCAGCCACAUUGGGACUCAGACACGGCCCAAACUCCUACGGGAGGCAGCAGUGGGGAAUAUUGCACAAUGGGGGGAACCCUGAUGCAGCGACGCCGCGUGAGCGAUGAAGGUUUUCGAAUCGUAAAGCUCUGUCCUUGGAGAAGAUAAUGACGGUAUCCAAGGAAGAAGCACCGGCUAAAUACGUGCCAGCCGCCGCCGUAAAA